UCAUAUGACCAGUGUCCCAAGUGUGGGAGAGAUUAAAGGUCUGUUCCUUUGUUUUUUAGUGUUACACUUUUGAGUGUAAGGGCCGGUACUUUAUGUCCCGGUUAAACCUCGGUUAGCUAACCGGGGUUUAAUCGGGACAGAAAAGUACCCCAUAGGGCCUCUUGCGUUGUAAUAAAAGCAAUUAUAAUUAUUAUUAUAAUUAUUUAUGAAUAUAAUAAUAAGUAUAAUUGCGUUUAUGUCUAUGUUUUGCAUAUAUUUCUGUCCCGAUUAAACCUCGGUUAACUAACCGGCUGUUAACGGAGACAUAAAGUACCGGCCCUAAAGUCCACUUUACAUCAACAAUAAAUUGGACAAGAAAUUGACCAAGUUAUUCAAGGCCAAAUUUGACGUGUAAAAGCACACUUUGACAUCUAAGUUUGUUCGUUAUAAACUUCACGUGAAGAAAUUGACGAAAAAGAAAAAUUGUUCUAUUUUUUCAUUUAUUUGGCGUGAAUUCAGUGUCACCAACCUGUGUCCAUUUGGCGGGAAGUGGAAGUAGAGCUUUUUGUUUAUUAUUAUUUGUUGAGGUUGAGUCUUUCAUGUUCAUGACAACCUAAAAAUUUUGAUUGGAAAAUGCAUAUAAGAUAAGGGGGUGGGAAAAUGGAAAUUAGUGGCUUUUUUGCAGUUCUGUCUGUUAGUUUUGCUCUGGCUGGGUCUCUUUUGUUUAAACAAUUAUAAUCAGCUGAAAGUGGUCUACAAAAAAACCAGGAAGGAAACGUAUUAUAGCCUUGUUGUGGCUAUGAAAGGCAAAAGAAAGAUACCUAUAAAAAGUGUAUUGACUAGUUGGAAGAAACUCCACAUUGUCGAUGCAUAAUAAGAUAUUACUUUAUAAACAAAUAUCAAGACCUAGGAAUGGAACCUGGAUAAUAUAGUCAUCAAGAAGAUAGCAGGAGGUCAUGAGCAACAACAACUUCAUAAGUAUGAGAAUAUUGAGGAAAUCCAGCUCCUCGAUAUCUACUACUGGACAAACUAGAAGAUUGAAGAGGACAAAGCCUUUUGAACUAGUUUGAGUGAUAGGUGAUAGUGAAAAGCAGAGCGUAGUGCUUGUGUGCCUGUGUAUGUUAGAAUAGUGCACGAUCUUGUUAGAUUAGAUAAGAGACGCUAUAGGGUAAGCUCUUCAUUUUAAGGAACAGUAGUAAUUUAGGUUAAAUUAAAAUUGCUCAUUGGUCAGUUAUGACCAGAUUGUAAUUCUCUGAUGUUUGGCAAAAAGGGCUGAAGUCAGAAUUGCACAUCAAUAAUGUUUUGAUGAUUUCUGGACCAUAAAAAAAGUGUUGCAGACUUAAACUGUAUGUACCAAUAAAAAGAGCCGAUUUUUCUGGUCCAGAAAUCAUCAAAACAUUAUCGAUGUGCAAUUCUGACUUAAGCCCUUUUUCCCAAACAUCAGAGAAUUGCAAUGUACAAUUCAAUACAAAUGAAUCAUCAUCGUAGUGAUGAUUAUGGAAAAAAAUAUAUAUAUAUAUAUAGAAAUAUAUAUAUUUUGUGCAAUAAAAAUGUUUAUAUUUAUCAAGGAUGUAUUAUUUGGUAUGGCCACAUAUACUUCUGGUAUAUCGUCGGUGAUGUGACAAUACCUCCUAUCUGCUUUUUCAUGAAUUUUGUAGGAGACGAAAAACCAUUUUUAGGGUCAUCUGUUUUCACAUGUAAAUUUUGACAUGUUUUGUAGUAAAUAGAUAAUUGAAUUUACUACAAAACAUGUCAAAAAAUAUCAUAUGAAAACAGGAGGUGACUGUAAAAAAAGUUUUUAGUCUCUCUUACAAAAUGGUUAACAGUUAAUAGAGAGACAGAUAAUCGAGGUUCCACUGUAUAGUGAAAUUUGGACACCCGACACCCCAUACAAAUUUUAUGGGGGUUUUGUUCGUUUAAACCCCCCCAAACUUUUGUGUAAGUUACAAUUGAAUUAUUAUUGUGGUACUAUUAAACACAAUGUUUUUAAAACUUUUUUGCCUCUUAGUACUUUUUUGAAGUCAGUUUUUAUCGUGAUAUUUUGAAUAUUUGUCAAAUCCACCACAUAUUUGUAUAUGGUUAAGUACGAUUGUAGAGACUAAUAAUAUGAAAAUUUAUUUAUGAUUUACAUUUUUAGGUAUAUUUUGAACCAUUUUAAAAAGAAGCCAUAUCUUGAUAAAAAGAGCUUUAUCGAAAAAAUAGAAAGAGGUAAAAAAGUUUUAAAAACACAGUGUUUAACUAAUGGUACCGCAGAAAUAAUUUAAUUGGAACGUACCCAAAAGUUUGGGGGGGUUAAAGGGAACAAAACCCCCAUAAAAUUUUUAUGGGGUGCACAAAUUUCACUAUAAUUUUUCUUUAAGAUGUUACUGCAAUAAUAUUGCUUCAUGUCCAUUUUCAAUAAAAAAUCUUUAAUAGUUUUCGAUAUAUUCGAAAAAAUCGAAUUUUCAUUUUGUAUCUUCAAAGGGCUGUAACUUUUUUUGUGUGCAUAUUUGUACUAAGGUAAGUUAGGUUCAUUCAAAUUAUUUUUGGUCCCAGAAUAUGUGAUUUAAUUUACGACCAAUCUUUUCGGGACACCCUGUAUAAUAAAUGGGAUUAGCUGGCUUAAAAAUUCAUAAUCUACGUUCUGUAGAAAAUAUACAGUUUUUGGUUUCUUUUUAACUAGAUCUUAAUAUCUAACCAAGCAUUUUAAGACCUUUUUAUUAUUUUUUCGAUGAUAUAUUCAUGUUUUUAGUUUGUUCAAAAUAUUCUAGAUGAUUGUACACUAUAAUAGAUAGCCAACUAAAUAAACACAAAAAUUUUAUUUUUGCUACAGCCUGUAUAUAAGUUUACCUAUAUAUACAGUGCAUUACGCACCACCUUAAAAAUUGGGCAUUUUUGAUGUCUCGAAUUUCCUAAACCUGUUGUCCCAUCUAAGUGAUUUUUUUAUAAUAAUAUAGCCUGAGGCUAUAGGUUACUGCCUUAUGCUUGUCAUGCACGGGGAGCUAUACUGUAAUAUACAUUAUAUCACGUCGCUCUCUAUAGUAAUGAGUGAGCCUGCACAUACGGAACCAUUAGUUCCCUGUCUGCAGGCUCACUCAUUACUAUAGAGAGCGAUAUGAUAUAAUAUACAUAUAUUACAGUAUAGCUACCAGUGCAUGACAAGCUUAAGGAUGUAACCUAUAGCCUAGGCUAUAUUAUAAAAAAAUCACUCAGAUGAGACAACAGGUUUAGAAAAUUCGAGACAUCAAAAAUGCCCUAUUUUUAAGGUGGUGCGUUAAUUUCUUGGAGAAGUGUAUUGUAAUUUAAUGUAAAUAAUGUAAUAUCCAAUAAUUGUAAUUUAAUAUAAGAUGUAAUAUAAGUUCCUUAAAAAUAUAUUUUUUAUUUCCCACCAUACAUUCUCCACAGGUCUAAAUAUCGAUGCUAGACGUCCACCGGAGGUCCUCUCAGGACGUUAGAUGGACGUUCGGCAGCAAGACAUUGGACCAAACUGGGACAUCCUAUGAAGGUCCAAUUGACAUUCACUGAACGUCCCCUCGGACGUUAGGUGGACGUCCAUUGGACGUUUGGCAACGUGGCAUUUGGACCAAAAUAGGACGUCCUGUUAAGGUCCAAUUUACGUCCCCUAGGACGUCCGAUUAAGGUCCAAUGUACGUCCCUUCGGACCUUAAGUGGACGUCCAACAGACAUUCGGUAGCGCGACAUUUGGACCAAAAUAGGACGUUCCUUGGACGAAAACGGACCUCCCUAAAGUCUGUGAAGGACAUCCUUGUGCUAUUAGGGAUGUAUCUAUGUAGGUAUAUAGUAUCUUUAUUCUAUUAUAUUCUACUCUAUUUCAAACCUAUUCUAUAUAAGUAUCUACACAUUACACCUAUUAUCAUCAUCAUCAUUCUCUUUGCCUUAUCCCUAUGCAGUGUCGGCUUCCCUAAUUGCAUUUCUCCACACAAUUCUAUCUUGAGUCAUAUCAAUGUUAAUCCCCUUUACCAACAUGUCCUGCCUUAUCGUCUUCUUUGGUCUUCCUCUCCUACUCCUUCCAGGAAUCUGCACUUCAGCUAUUCUUCGUAUUGGGUGAUUAACGUCUCGAUGUUGAACAUGACCAAACCAUCUUAACCUAUGCUCUCUCAUUUUGGCAUCAAUUGGUGCCACACCUAGACUUCCCCUAAUAUACUCAUAUCUAAUUUUAUCCUUCUUUGUCACUCCACUCAUCCAUCUAAGCAUUCUCAUUUCCACCACAUGCAUUCAUUGUUCCGCUUUCUUUUUCACUGCCCAACAUUCAGUUCCGCGCAUCAUAGCCGGUCUUGUGGCUGUUUUAUAGAAUUUUCCCUUCAGCUUCAUUGGAAUUUUUCUGUCACAACACACCACUCGCUUCUUUCCACUUCAUCCAUCCAGCCCUAAUUCUACUGCAUGCAUCUCCAUCUAUUUCUCCAUUACUCUGUAAUACCGAUCCUAGGUACUUAAAACUAUUGCUUUUCACAAUCAUUUCACCUAUUAUAUUAUAUUUUACUUUAUUCUAUACUAUAUAUCUAUUCUAAUCUAUCUAUAUAUUUCAUUUAAUCUGUUACAUUCUACUCUAUUCUGUUUUAAAUCAAAUACUUUAUUAUUAGUAAGUAUCUACAUAUAUAUUACAUCUAUUCUAUUAUAUUCUACUCUAUUCUAUUUCAGUUUAUUUUAUACUAUAUAUCUAUUCUAAUCUAUCUCUCUAUUUUAUUUAUUUUAUUAAUCUGUUCUAUUCUAUUCUGUUUCAAAUCAAACACUUUACUCAAACAAAGAAACAAACGACAUUCAAAAGCUUCUAAUAAAAAAAUCAUUGCAUUGGUACUACUGAAAAUAUUGACAUUUUUACAACAUUUAUUCCAAGUUCCUUCAAUUUUUUUGAGGACAAGAAAAUUUUGCUUUCAAGAAAUUCACGAAUUUAUUGGCGUCAAGUUAAUAACGAACAAACAUGGAUGUCAAAUUGUGCUUUGAGAACACGUCAAAUUUGGCCUUGAAUAACUUGGUCAAUUUAUUGUUCAAUUUAUUGUUGAUGUAAAGUGCACUUAAGUGUAAGAAAUUCUAUGGACAUUUGAGUGUAAAAUGACAGCGGAUGUGACAGCGGCUCAUGACAGCGGACAGUAUUAAACGAAAAUUAUCGGUGUGCCAAUCAAGCAAAGGAACAAGGAACUUCCGAAUAUGGCCUAACUGGGGGCACAUAACAUAACCUAAUCCUAAUAUAGGCCGUUCCAAGAUGCUGUCAAAAUUAAAUCAAUAUGGCUACUGGAAGGCAAACAUUGAAUAUUAUUCUAUCAGGUUCUUAUGGUUUUAGAUCAUUUUAGUUGUUGUACAAAGAUUAAUUUAACAUUUUCUCUGGAAGUAUUAAUUUAGAAAGAUAAUAUGCCUCAUUGGUGUUGUGUUUUGAAGUGUGAAAUGCAAAGUAAUCGUGAUAAAGUUAGCUUUUACCACUUACCAUCAGUGCUACAUUCUAAGCACAAAACUGAACCAAUUUAACUAAAUAAGUUAUAGUUAUCAUCUGAGAGACAACAACAAUGGUAAAAUGCAAUAAAAUAUAAAGAUUUUACUAGCAAAAUGGAAAUUCCCCUGUAAUCAUCUUAUAUCUGGUAAGUUACAACAUUUGAACAUUAACGAUUUUUGAAGAUGUUAACAGUCUAAUCUUGUAGGAAAACCAGCCGACUUAACUGAUAAUAACAAUCCAGAUUGGGUUCCUUCAAUAAAUAUGGGGUAUAUAAACACAAUGAAAUGAGUUCCCCAAAAUCUAAAAUGGGAAUUAAGGUACCAAAGGAGAAUUAAAAGAAAAGGGUACCUACAAGAAAAAAUUGCUUUUUUAUUCCUCUUGAAAUGAUUUAUAAGACACUGGACUGUCUUAUAUUCUACAAAUACUAGGUAGGUCUAUGAUUUUACACAUUUUUCAUUAAUGAUACAUUACUGUUACUUUAGUAGAUUUAGAAACAGUGGAUAGUUAGUGGUAGAUAGUAGUUAUUUGGUAUAAAAGCUAGUUUAGUAGAAGACAAGAUUUUGCCAAAUAGUCAAACAUAUAUUACAAUGGAAAAAUUAACAAAUACAUUUUAUGUCAUUAACAUUAACACAGGAUUUUAAAUAUCAGCUUAAGAAAUUAGCUUUAUCUUGUGAAAGUAUAGAAAAUGAUGAUGCCAAAACUAAAAAUUAUACUGGUUUAGCAAAUUACAAUGUGUUUAAAAUAGCUUUAAAGUAUAUUACACCAUUUAUCAAAUACCAUCAAAAUACUGUUUUGUCACCAAGUGAUAAGUAUUGCUUACUUUAGCUAAACUAAGCUUAAACUUAGAUUAUAAAGAUUUGGGAUAUAGGUUUAGUAUUUCACCCUACCCGGUAUCAACUUAUUUCAAAAAUACUUUGUAUAUAAUGUGUCUUAGGUUAAAAAAUUUGUGUUCUGGCCUGAUAGAGAUAUUUUAAAGAAAACUAUGCAAAAUUCACUUAAAGAAUCUUUUCAUGGAAAUACUACAGGUAUAAUUGACUUUGGACGAAUGUUUGUAUGAAACGAAUUAUUUAUUGUUCUGAAGCUAGUUAUUUGAGGCAUUUUUGUAAUUAACUAUUCUAAUUGGGAAAUAAGCCACAAUUUAACUUAAAAAAUAAUUUUAUUAAUCUUUCGACUUCCAAAUCAGACGUCAUUGUCAAAAUACAAAAUAUUAUUAUUUAUGCAUAUUAUUACCUGUAAAUAUUUCUUCUGAUUGUUAAUUGUAAAGGAUUGAAAAAUUACCAUUUAUUUUAUUUUUUUUAGAAUCAGCUGAGAGAAGUGGUCUACAAAAACCCAGGAAGGAAACGGAAUAUGUGGCUACGAAAGGCAAAAGAAAGGUUUACAAAGCAAAUGUGACACAUUUUUUUGAAAUAUGUAGGAAUAUCAGUAAAUUGCAUUAAAAAAAUGUAUGAAAAGAUUUUGUUCAAUAAAAAUGUUUAUAUUUA